CAGCCUUAGAAGCAGCCGAGGUUUCAGUAAAUUUUUCCUGAGACCAGACCCUCGUGACAGAGCUGUGCUGAUGGAAACUCCACAGUCACAUGCCGGCAUGAUCCAAUGUUUGGGGACAUUUGCUUUCAUUGUAUUGCAAACCCCUGGACUUCCCCCAUAGUAAUGGGCUGCCAGGAAUUCCCUUAGCUCAGCGAUUUAAAAACCCAACAAGGAGUGACUGUUAUUCAGAGCAGGCUUCAGGAGGCCACACUGCCUGUGCCAGUCCCCCUUUUCAUGACUGCAACUCUCUCUGGGCUCUCUGUCUGCCAGGAUCCAGCUGGGCUGCGCCAGGCAAAUCUGAGUCUCUACAGCGUGUGAUAUGCCCCGGCCUUUGUUCCCCAAUUUUCCUGUUCCUUGUGUGGGGGGGCUCAUUGGUGGCUCAUCACAGCCGAGUCACCCAUCACUGCUCAGUUCGGGAGGGACGUCACCCUGAGCUGCCUUUUCCCAUCCCAGCCCCGGAUGAACCUCCAGCACCUGAUCCUCACCUGGGAAAAGGAGCGGGCGGGGACAGAGGCCCUGGUGGUUCAUAGUCACUAUUACGGGAAGGACCAGCUGGCGAGACAGGACGAGGCUUAUAGGAACCGGACCUGGCUGGAUCCAGAGGGGCUGGCCCGGGGGAAUGGAUCCCUGACACUGAGGGGUGUCCGCACGCAGGACGAGGGCAAUUAUCGCUGCCAUGUAACCUCGGAGCUGGGCACAACUUCGGAGAUGAGGCAGGUUACAGUGAUGGUACCCUACAGUGAGCCUCAUCUGACCCUUGAUCCCUCGUUUCGGCUGGGCCACGCUCUUUUGACCUUCAGCUCAGGGGGCAGGUACCCCCGAGCAAGCGUGGUGUGGAGGAACGGGAUGGGAACCUAGCAGAGCUCAGCAGUACUACAGAGUCCAUGGACGCCCAGGGCCUUUACACCCUGCGCAGUGAGCUGGUUGUGCCCGUGGGGCGGAGCACCAACCUCACCAUGCUCCUGGUGACAGCACACGGACGGGAGACCCCUGUGCAGCACGUCACAGUGGCAGAAGGACCCGGGCAGAGAUGCAGUCAUGUCUGGCUGCUAUUGGCCUGUCUGGGUGCCCUGACCAUUUCUGUGAUAGUGGCUGCGGGGAUCCUUCGCCCUCCCAGCCGUGGGACUUGCGGACGCUGCUCAGAGAAUCCCUUCACCAGGACAAUGGAUGUGGAGGAUCCUUUACUCCAGGGCCAGCUGGGCCCUGGCACCUGCCCAGCCAUGUGUACACCCACCAUCACCCUUGGUGCUGAUCUCCUGGUGGCUCCCUCUGGCCAUCUUCAUGCCAAGGCUCUGUAGUUGGGAGCCAGGGGUCUCUAGACCCAAUGGCCACACUUUAUAGCAAGGACAGCGGAGUUCUAUGUUCAGCACAGAGCCACUGCACCAGGGCUUGCUUUUGUCCCUGACCCUUGUGAUGGGAGAGCUCCCUGCAAAGCGGGGACUGACCCAUGUCAAUACAACAGGGCUCAUACACUGUGGCCCCCACGGGGGAACCUAACCCCGCCCAUGCAGGGCAGCUCUUUGUCCCCCUCUAAUCACUGCCCCACAUCAGAGCAUUUAGUGAGACCCCUGCAGGGCUAGGACUAAAGCCUCAAAGGUAUUUAUAGAGCCCCAGAGGAAGGACCUCUGAGGGCAGCCAGUCCACCCCCCCCUGCAGAGGUGGAACCAAGUAACCCUAGAGCUGCCCAGACAUGGGUUUGUCCAGCCUGGGCUUAGAAACCUCCAGUGGCAGGGAUCCCACAACUUCCCUUGCACACAGAGUCCAGAGCUAAACUCCCCUGGGAGCUAGGAAGUGGUUCCUGAUAUCUACCCUCACUCUCCCUUGCUGCAGGUUAAGUCCAGUGCUGCUUCUCCUGCCUCCAGUGGAAAUGGAGAACAAUUUAUCACCAGGGGCAGGAGGGAGACCAAGGGAUUGGGGUGGGUAGGAGGUGGACUGGGGAGUAUGAAGUAGUAAGGAUGGGAUGGAGAUCAAUAGGACGGCAGCUCCCCCACCCUAGGCUUAGCGGAAGGACAUGACUCCCAAACUGCCCCCGAGCUGUCCCCAGGUGUCUAUGAAGAGGUUAUAAUUUGCUGGUUAUAAUUAUGCUAGCUGUAUGUGUGUGUCAUUUGGGUAGUUGAAGUUAUGAAUAUUGGCUAUGUAUUUAUAUAUCAAUGUGUUUUGAUUCUAAGUAGCUUCAGUGAAGCAUUUGAUCAGCUUCUUGAGAAGGGACUAUUCUCAAUAAGUGCCCAAUCAAGAAACACUUAACUGACAAUGGACUUUGGGAGAUGCCAAUCCACAUCUGAGCUUUCUUGGGAAUGUUCAAACUAACUUGUAAACAAUGGUGUUGGCCUGCAAACUGAGUCAUGCAUGGACAUGUGACUCGCCCAUGUGACUCCAAGCUCCAUCUCGCUGCUGUGAUUUUCCACAGCAAGAACAAAGAGGUGUCCUUCCACCUGGAAGAGACUAUAAAAGGCAGCUGCCUCAUCUCCAUUUUGUCUUCUGGAGGAACCUUGCUGCAAACUGAUGCUCUGAACAAAGGACUGAAUGACCCAUCCCAGCUGGGGAUGUUCUCCAGAGACCUGAUUUGAACCUGAAGUUUAUUCCAUCAUUCCUACAAGCCUGAACCAAGAACUUUGCCAUUACUGUAUGUAUAUGAUUCCAUUUAACCAAUUUUAACUCUCAGCUAUAUUUCUUUCUUUUUAUGAAUAAACCUUUAGAUUUUAGAUUCUAAA